ensembl:lncRNA
UUAUAGUGUGCGACAGUGGCAUCCAGGCCAGAGGAUCAGGAAGGCCGGAUUCCAUUUCAUUUUCCAGCCUUGCGCCUCCCCUUGCCCCCAGGACACUUCUGCUGGAUUACAACAGGCCAGGCGAAAGGAAUUAGUACUCCACCUCCCAGACGCGCAGUUGCUGGCACAGGAGUUAGAAGAGUGUCAGGUGAAAAAGGAACUCCAUACAGACUGGUCUUACAGCUGCCCUAUUUCACAGAAGUGACAGAUAAUGCUGGGAACCCCCCUCCCCAACACCUUGUAACUAACGGAGUCGCUUUUCUUCCCUGGGAUGCUCUUGGAGUUAAGAAAGAUUUGUUGUAUAACCCUGGCAGCACAUGGCCAUUAGAAAAUACUUAAUUCUGUGACAAUAUGCAAAGGAAAACUGUUGAGAGGUCAGCUAGCUCUGACUGCACGUAUUUUGACUACAAGUACCCGUGACUGAUUGAUCACUCAGUGAAGACUGAGAACUGUGGAAAUUAAUUCAUUGUAUAUCUACAGCACCUCAAUAAGAAUCAUAACUGAAGAGAGCACAAAUUGCUGCAUGUCACUGUACAGGAAGAGAAACGGCAGCUGAUGAGGCUGGAGAACGAUCCUUGGAUCUGGAUGUUGUGCAGUGUGGCAUCUGGACGCUGGCAAACCUACGCUUUAAUUCCAGCUCUUCCACAUACUAGGUUUCAUGGAAGCAGGAAAUAUGGCAGAACAGCUCUGGAUAUACCACUUUGCUGAGCCAGGGCAUGGAGAUACAGCACAGUACAUGAAGAUGGAAGGAAUUCCACAUGGAAGGAGAAAAGUGGGCCACAUUGAACUGUUUAAACUUUUGACUGACUUCGAAUUUAUGCAUUUCCAUGGACUUACAGCUCACCAUAUUUUAAUAUACUACACAGCAUCUUACAAAGAAUUACCGAUAGGCAUAUCAUCAUGAUUAUUUAGAGAAUUGGAAAGAAUUUUUUUCACAAAGGGGUCAUUUACCCUUAGACAAAAUUAGCAUUUAAAUUUGUUGCUUACAAUAUUUGGUUUGUUAUUAUAAUUAUUGUUGAUCUAUGUGACAGUGAAGUUUCUACAUGUAGCCAUAGUGAUUAACAAUUUAGCGAUAAGUACACUAUAACGGAAAUGUUACAGUAGUUAAGAGUUUAGAAUCAGG